rnacentral:rRNA from 1 species
GACGAACGCUGGCGGCAGGCUUAACACAUGCAAGUCGAGCGCCCCGCAAGGGGAGCGGCAGACGGGUGAGUAACGCGUGGGAAUCUACCCAUCUCUACGGAAUAACGCAUGGAAACGUGUGCUAAUACCGUAUACGUCCUUCGGGAGAAAGAUUUAUCGGAGAUGGAUGAGCCCGCGUUGGAGUAGCUAGUUGGUGGGGUAAAGGCCUGCCAAGGCGACGAUCCAUAGCUGGUCUGAGAGGAUGAUCAGCCACACUGGGACUGAGACACGGCCCAGACUCCUACGGGAGGCAGCAGGGGGGAAUAUUGGACAAUGGGCGCAAGCCUGAUCCAGCCAUGCCGCGUGAGUGAUGAAGGCCCUAGGGUUGUAAAGCUCUUUCACCGGUGAAGAUAAUGACGGUAACCGGAGAAGAAGCCCCGGCUAACUUCGUGCCAGCCGCCGCCGUAAAAC